rnacentral:rRNA from 1 species
GGUUAAGUUAGAAAGGGCGCACGGUGGAUGCCUUGACACUAGGAGUCGAUGAAGGACGGGACUAACGCCGAUAUGCUUCGGGGAGCUGUAAGUAAGCUUUGAUCCGAAGAUUUCCGAAUGGGGAAACCCACCAUACGUAAUGGUAUGGUAUCCUUAUCUGAAUACAUAGGGUAAGGAAGACAGACCCAGGGAACUGAAACAUCUAAGUACCUGGAGGAAGAGAAAGCAAAUGCGAUUUCCUGAGUAGCGGCGAGCGAAACGGAACAUAGCCCAAACCAAGAGGCUUGCCUCUUGGGGUUGUAGGACAUUCUAUACGGAGUUACAAAGGAACGAGGUAGACGAAGCGACCUGGAAAGGUCCGUCGUAGAGGGUAACAACCCGUAGUCGAAACUUCGUUCUCUCUUGAAUGUAUCCUGAGUACGGCGGAACACGUGAAAUUCCGUCGGAAUCUGGGAGGACCAUCUCCCAAGGCUAAAUACUCCCUAGUGAUCGAUAGUGAACCAGUACCGUGAGGGAAAGGUGAAAAGCACCCCGGAAGGGGAGUGAAAGAGAUCCUGAAACCGUGUGCCUACAAAUAGUCAGAGCCCGUUAACGGGUGAUGGCGUGCCUUUUGUAGAAUGAACCGGCGAGUUACGAUCCCGUGCGAGGUUAAGCUGAAGAGGCGGAGCCGCAGCGAAAGCGAGUCUGAAUAGGGCGUUUAGUACGUGGUCGUAGACCCGAAACCAGGUGAUCUACCCAUGUCCAGGGUGAAGUUCAGGUAACACUGAAUGGAGGCCCGAACCCACGCACGUUGAAAAGUGCGGGGAUGAGGUGUGGGUAGCGGAGAAAUUCCAAUCGAACCUGGAGAUAGCUGGUUCUCCCCGAAAUAGCUUUAGGGCUAGCCUUAAGUGUAAGAGUCUUGGAGGUAGAGCACUGAUUGGACUAGGGGUCCUCAUCGGAUUACCGAAUUCAGUCAAACUCCGAAUGCCAAUGACUUAUCCUUAGGAGUCAGACUGCGAGUGAUAAGAUCCGUAGUCAAAAGGGAAACAGCCCAGACCGCCAGCUAAGGUCCCAAAGUGUGUAUUAAGUGGAAAAGGAUGUGGAGUUGCUUAGACAACUAGGAUGUUGGCUUAGAAGCAGCCACCAUUUAAAGAGUGCGUAAUAGCUCACUAGUCGAGUGACUCUGCGCCGAAAAUGUACCGGGGCUAAAUACACCACCGAAGCUGCGGAUUGAUACCGAAUGGUAUCAGUGGUAGGGGAGCGUUCUAAGGACAGUGAAGUCAGACCGUAAGGACUGGUGGAGUGCUUAGAAGUGAGAAUGCCGGUAUGAGUAGCGAAAGACGGGUGAGAAUCCCGUCCACCGAAUGCCUAAGGUUUCCUGAGGAAGGCUCGUCCGCUCAGGGUUAGUCAGGACCUAAGCCGAGGCCGACAGGCGUAGGCGAUGGACAACAGGUUGAUAUUCCUGUACCACCUCUUUAUCGUUUGAGCAAUGGAGGGACGCAGAAGGAUAGAAGAAGCGUGCGAUUGGUUGUGCACGUCCAAGCAGUUAGGCUGAUAAGUAGGCAAAUCCGCUUAUCGUGAAGGCUGAGCUGUGAUGGGGAAGCUCCUUAUGGAGCGAAGUCUUUGAUUCCCCGCUGCCAAGAAAAGCUUCUAGCGAGAUAAAAGGUGCCUGUACCGCAAACCGACACAGGUAGGCGAGGAGAGAAUCCUAAGGUGUGCGAGAGAACUCUGGUUAAGGAACUCGGCAAAAUGACCCCGUAACUUCGGGAGAAGGGGUGCUUUCUUAACGGAAAGCCGCAGUGAAUAGGCCCAAGCGACUGUUUAGCAAAAACACAGCUCUCUGCGAAGCCGUAAGGCGAAGUAUAGGGGGUGACACCUGCCCGGUGCUGGAAGGUUAAGGAGAGGGGUUAGCGUAAGCGAAGCUCUGAACUGAAGCCCCAGUAAACGGCGGCCGUAACUAUAACGGUCCUAAGGUAGCGAAAUUCCUUGUCGGGUAAGUUCCGACCCGCACGAAAGGUGUAACGAUUUGGGCACUGUCUCAACCAGAGACUCGGUGAAAUUAUAGUACCUGUGAAGAUGCAGGUUACCCGCGACAGGACGGAAAGACCCCGUGGAGCUUUACUGUAGCCUGAUAUUGAAUUUUGGUACAGUUUGUACAGGAUAGGCGGGAGCCAUUGAAACCGGAGCGCUAGCUUCGGUGGAGGCGCUGGUGGGAUACCGCCCUGACUGUAUUGAAAUUCUAACCUACGGGUCUUAUCGACCCGGGAGACAGUGUCAGGUGGGCAGUUUGACUGGGGCGGUCGCCUCCUAAAGUGUAACGGAGGCGCCCAAAGGUUCCCUCAGAAUGGUUGGAAAUCAUUCGUAGAGUGCAAAGGCAUAAGGGAGCUUGACUGCGAGACCUACAAGUCGAGCAGGGACGAAAGUCGGGCUUAGUGAUCCGGUGGUUCCGCAUGGAAGGGCCAUCGCUCAACGGAUAAAAGCUACCCGGGGAUAACAGGCUUAUCUCCCCCAAGAGUCCACAUCGACGGGGAGGUUUGGCACCUCGAUGUCGGCUCAUCGCAUCCUGGGGCUGUAGUCGGUCCCAAGGGUUGGGCUGUUCGCCCAUUAAAGCGGUACGCGAGCUGGGUUCAGAACGUCGUGAGACAGUUCGGUCCCUAUCCGUCGUGGGCGUAGGAAAUUUGAGAGGAGCUGUCCUUAGUACGAGAGGACCGGGAUGGACGCACCGCUGGUGUACCAGUUGUUCUGCCAAGGGCAUAGCUGGGUAGCUAUGUGCGGAAGGGAUAAGUGCUGAAAGCAUCUAAGCAUGAAGCCCCCCUCAAGAUGAGAUUUCCCAUAGCGUAAGCUAGUAAGAUCCCUGAAAGAUGAUCAGGUUGAUAGGUUCGAGGUGGAAGCAUGGUGACAUGUGGAGCUGACGAAUACUAAUAGAUCGAGGACUUAACCAU